AGAAGCUUGAUGUGGUUUUGUAAGCAUUUAUAUAUAUAUAUAUAUAUAUAUAUAUAUAUAUAUUGCAUCUGCCUUGAGAUAAGAAGAACGUGUGCUGCCAGUCGGAAAUUUAGAGAAAAAGAAAGAGAAGAAAAAGGGAAAAAGAAGAAAGAAAGGAAAAAGUAAUGAUUAGUGGGGCCCACGAAAUUGUUUUUGUGGCUAUAAAUUCUUUGAACCUAGUCCUUCACGUGGGUUUUAUUGGCUGACAUUUUGUUUGCGUGGUGAGCGUUUUUGUUGGGUGUCAGUGGAAUUGUCUUUAUAAAGAAACUGUUUUGCAACUUUGGUAAUGAUACAAGGAGAAAGAAAAAUAGAGGAAAACAAAAUGAGCCGAGAGAGACACAGAGAGACGAGAGUUUGCAGAGAGAAGCCGCGAGGUUGCAGAGGAGGCCGGGAGCUUGAGACUUUGAUGAUCUAGUGAGGAAAAUUCCUUUUCCAAGGAAUCAAAGGAAGGUACAGGAGUUAAUAUAUCAAACAUCACUAUGACUUUCCAUGCUGAAGUAUAUGGACUCUUCUAAAGUAUGGAAAUGCAAGAGCUUCACCUCAAGUCACUCCUAAUAUUCAACCAAUAGAAAAUUUAGAAGGAUCAAAAUGUGAAUUAUUACAUUGGAGUGAACCAAAUGUAGUUGUUAUUGAAGUUAUCGAUUCUACGAACAAAAAAUCAUGUGUGGAUGGUAUUCCUAUUAGAACCGAAUGUUGGAAAAUCUGGGUCAAGGUUGUAUUUGAUACUGAUGUGACCUUAUAUAGGGCGUGCAAAUAUUACUUGUACCUUCUACAAGCUAAGGGAGAAUAGUUUCAUGGCCCGCCAAGUUGGUUAGAAGAACUUAGUUUCAAAGGUAAUGGUUUUAUAUUAAAUAUAAAUGUGUUGAUUUAUACAUUUAUAAAUGCAUAUAAUUAUAUUUUUUAUGUAUAAGAGUUUGAACCUUUGUCCCCAUUUUCAUCUUCCUCUCUUUCGCCUUUUCCUUUUCGCCUACUUCUUCAAGGCAUUAAUGUGACAAUUUAAUGUAAUAACUUGUCUUCUUUCUUCCAUUUUUUUUUUUUUUUUUUUUUUGGCAGAGUGUGAUUGUAGGAUCAAUUUUUGCCAUAUAUGUUAUGUUCUUAUAUAUGGUAAUGUAACAUAAUGUGAGGAUUCUUUUUUCACAUUGGAGACAUGUAUAAUUUGUGAUAUUGAACCA